GACGAACGCUGGCGGCGUGCUUAACACAUGCAAGUCGAGCGGUAAGGCCCUUUCGGGGGUACACGAGCGGCGAACGGGUGAGUAACACGUGGGUGACCUGCCCUUAGCUCUGGGAUAAGCCUGGGAAACUGGGUCUAAUACCGGAUAUGACUCCAUAACGCAUGUUGUGGGGUGGAAAGCCUUGUGCGGCUAGGGAUGGGCCCGCGGCCUAUCAGCUUGUUGGUGGGGUGAUGGCCACCAAGGCGACGACGGUAGCCGGCCUGAGAGGGCGACCGGCCACACUGGGACUGAGACACGGCCCAGACUCC
rnacentral:rRNA from 1 species